GCACUUGAGGAGUGUGUGGGUGGAGGUCAGAGAACACCUUAUAUAGGAGUUGGCUUUCUCCUUCUAUCAUGUGGGCCCUGAAUCUCAAACUCAGGUGGUUAGGCAGGACUGCGAGGGCCUUUACCUACUGAGUCUUAUCUCUGCUACCCAAGUGAGUUUUUGUGUUACUCUGCUUACAACAAAGUUCAGAGUUAUUCUGGGCAGGUUUUAUUAUCUCUUGUGUCAGAUGAAGGCAUAGGCUCUAAGAGCUGGAGGGAGAGUUUGAAAGUCAUGUCACCCAGCAAAAACGUUGGUGGGAGUGGGGCAGGGCGCGAAGUGAGUUAGUUCUUCUUAACUCCUUCCUGUUGCGGAUCUGCUCCGUGGAUGGGGUGGGGGUGUGGUAGCUCCUGAUAAAAGGAGGAGGAGUUUACUCCUUUUCCUCCCCCAGGAAUCUCCUUUAGAGAUGUGGAGGGAAGAGGGACAGAAGGAAAUGUAGACCACCGCUUAUCUUCAAGCCUGUCCUUUUGAUUCAGACCUUUGAGCAGGGCUCUUUGAAGAGGUGUUUUCCUCUUAUCUCCCAUCAGCCGCAGGGAGCCAUACAGACCCGGGUCAGGGGGAUGUGGUAGGGUAGGUGUGCUUUUGAAGUCGGCCUCCCUUGCUUGUUCUGCCCCCAUACAUCAGCCUGGUCAUUCAUCUUUGAUUACUUUCAUCCAUUUAGGUUUAUCUGUUUCUGAGAAAAACUCCCUGAUGUUGGGGACUAAGGGUCUCCCACAGGCUAGAUACUUGCUCAAUUGCUCAGCCCCAAAACUUCUCUCUUAAGCUGUAAAUAUUGCUGGGGCUAUAUCUCACCCUCUAGCAGUCUGCACUGAGACAGCCCACAGAGAGGGCUGCAUAUAGGGCACUGUGCACUUACUGGGAUGCCAGAUGCUGCUCUGAGCAGCCAGUGGGUGCUAAUUCAUUUAUUUCUUGCAACAAAUCAAUCAGGUGGGUACUAGUGUUGUGCCUAUCUUAUAGGUGAUACACCGAGACCCAGAGAGGUUGAGCAGUUUGCCAGGUUACCCAGCCAGGAGGUGGUAGAGCUGAUAUUAUAGGGCAGGUAGGUGGUUCCCAGGCUGUUUGCAAGGGCAGAGCCCAAGAGGGAGGAAUUUGCUCAAGGUGGGGAAUAAAAAAAGCCAGCAGGGCACACUGAAAACAAAUGACUUUCAUAAUUUUCUGGAGAGUUGCACACGCCCAUCGGGAUUUCCCUUCAUCGUGAGAAAUGAGGAAUAUGGUAUUGAGGAAACUGAGGCCCGGAAAGGAGCGGAGGGAACAUUCAUUUGCCCGUUUAAUUGGAUUGGACUGAUUAAUUCAAUGACUCAUCCUCUCAGUGACUAAUUAUUGACCACUUUAUAGGUAUGGGCCAGAGGCAGUCCCCAGAGGAUAAAGACAGACAGCUGUGUGGGAUGGGACCCAGACUCCCAUCUCUCGGAUGCCCAUUUCAGUGUCUCAGGAAAGGGAUUGUGGGCCUUGCCCUUGAGCAUCCUGGCCUCUUAUACAGAUUAAACAGCAACAGAAAACCGAGGCAGCCUGAUCUUAACUCCUGCUUAAUGUCUGCUGUAGUCGGAAUAUGAAAUGUUCCUAAAGACUCGUGUGCUGAAGGGUUGGUCCCCAAAGUAGUGUCUAUCAGUGGUGAGCCUCUGGGAAAAGACUAGAUUAGGAAGACUAGGACUUUAAUAAAAAUAUUUAAAUUAUUUAUUUAUUUGUGUGUGUGUGUGUGUGUGUGUGUGUGUGUGUGUGUUCAGGUGCCCACAGAGGGCAGAAGAGGAUGUCAGAUCCCCUGAACUGAGGUUACAGGUAGAUGUGAGUCCCCCAGUAUGGGUGGGUGCAGGGAAUUGAACUGGGAUCCUCUGCAAGGGCAGCAAGUGUUCUUAAGCCCUAAGACACGUCCCCAGCCCUAAUCAAUGGCUUUAUCAGGUGAUAAAUUAAUUAUUCCCUGGCUUUUCCAGAUGCUGGAGGAGAUUGGGAGGUGGAGCUUAGCUGGAGAGAGCAGGUUUCUAGACUGUCACCCUGAAAGAGGGUACUGGGUCCCUGCUCUAUGACUUGCUAACUCCACUCUCUGGCUACCAUGAGGGCAGUGGCUUUGCUGUGCCACAAGUUUUCUGCCAUAAUGUGUGGUCUUACUUCAAGCCCAGAGUGAGGGAGCUGAGAGAGACACCAUGCACUGAACCCUUUGAAACCAGAAGGCUUCAAAAUAAAUCUUUCACCCUGUUUUUUUGUUUUGUUUUGGUUUGGCUUUUGUUGUUUUUGUUUGUUUUGUUUUGGUUACAAUGAUGGAGCACUACCACUCGCAAGAACACUUGCUAUCAAGUCCAGGCUGUCCUGGAAUUUUCUUAUGUAGUCCAUGUUGGUCUGCAAUUCCUUGACUGCCUUCCCCCCGAAUUCUAAGUACCAGGUCGAUAGGCGCAUGCCUGGUAACUCAAAGAUGAAGUCAGCUUUCUGCUAACAUUGAUUGAACAAUGUCUGGGGUGCAGAUAUCAUUCUAGGUGCGUUUGGACAGUGGUCACUUAUACAUAAGGAGAAUCAUUAAGGACCAUGAAAGGACUCUUCAGUGGGAAACAGGGACCAUGGCUACCCCAGGGAGUCUCCUCAUUCUGCCUUCUGAGUUAACAACUGGAGCCAACGGGAAUCCAUGCCCUGGGGAGAUCUGGGUGGGUGGCCAUCUGUGGGCAUGUGAGAGAUGAUGUCUUCUGGUUUUGACCUUUCUUGUGAGAAUUGGCCAUGAAGGUAAUGGUAUCUGUGUGGUUUUCCCUCCAGAUUUGUUCACUGUGCUCCUUCCUAAGCCAUCUAAGAUGUGGAGUCCCAAACCCAAUUAUGUAAACAUUCUUUAAAAAAAAAAUCAAAUGCCUGUCCACAGCAUGGUGGAUACCUGAAAUCCUGGCAUUCAGGAGGCUGAGGUUAGACAGUCAUGAGUUUGAGGCUGGCCUGGGCUAUGGAGCAAGACCAUAACUCAAAACAGUGAAAAGAAAAAGAAAAACAUGAACAGAAAUAGAGUUUCUUAGAUAAUGUUUUGGUUAUUGCAACUAGUGUCCAGUAAAGAUGAAUUCGCAAGAUGUUAGAAAAAUUCAAGGGGUAUUUAUUUUGAUACCCCACCUCCACUUCCAGCUUCUGCCCGGUGAAUGACUGGAGGAGCUGGGUCUCCACCAAGCUUAUGUCAAAGGAGAGAGGCCAUUCAGAACAGUCAAAAACAGACUAAGGUAUGAAAAAAAAAAAACAUAUUCAACUUAGAAACAGAACCUCCCACCCCCUGAAAAUCACCUGCAACCAUUUGUGUGGAAAGAAACACGCACAACGCAUCCCGUGGCGUAUGAACCUCAGGUGAGAUGAAAAGGCUGCCGAUAUGUAUCUGGACUUCUCAAAUAUUCCAUUAAGAGAUUAUAUCACAGAGGGCUCAGAAUUAAACAGCAUCAGGAGGGAUUUGGUGUGUGGUUGCUUUCUUGGGAGCUGUAAAGACGAACUAUGUAACAUGAACAAAGUGCCAAAUGCCCAUUUUCAUCUCCCCCUCUUGGGCUGAUUUUGCUUGCUCUGUAUGGUGGAUCUGAGCCUGGGGUUCCCCACCCCCACCCCUAGAAGAGCAGUGGGGUCUAUUCCUGGGUACCAAGUGGAGGCACGCUCUCCCUCUCUUCUUGACAAUGCUCCCUAGCACAGCCAUCUCUAUCCUUUCCUCAUCCCAUCUUCAAUUCUACCUCGACUCAAACAGAUCUGUUGAAGAACUUACGGUGGAGUGACCAAGGCGCUGCCAUCUUGUCCUGACUCCUUAUUUUGUCUUCUCAGGCACUAUUUGCAAGGCCUUAGCCCCCUGAGCAGUCAUGUCGACCUUGGCUAAACACUUGAGACUUUUCCCUGACUCUGACCCAUGCCCAGAUGUAUAACAUAAACAACUGGUGUGUUCUACCAAAACAAGCGUUCCUUGGUUCCCCUGGUUCACACAUGAUGAUGUCAUUGUGGGUUUUGCCUGUAUUACUAGUUUUCCCUGGUCUACAUGUGAUGAUGUCAUUUUAGGUUUUGCCUGUAUAAAUGCUCUUGAGCUCUGGUACUAAGAAUUCUUUGGGGGGCAAAAAAAGCCCUUUUCUCUGUCGUUGGUUAAUAAAGGACUCUAAUUGGG